AGCGAACGCUGGCGGCAGGCCUAACACAUGCAAGUCGAACGAACUCUUCGGAGUUAGUGGCGGACGGGUGAGUAACACGUGGGAACGUGCCUUUUGGUACGGAAUAACUCAGGGAAACUUGUGCUAAUACCGAAUGUGCCCUUCGGGGGAAAGAUUUAUCGCCAUUAGAGCGGCCCGCGUCUGAUUAGCUAGUUGGUGAGGUAACGGCUCACCAAGGCGACGAUCAGUAGCUGGUCUGAGAGGAUGACCAGCCACACUGGGACUGAGACACGGCCCAGACUCCUACGGGAUGCAGCAGUGGGGAAUCUUGCGCAAUGGGCGAAAGCCUGACGCAGCCAUGCCGCGUGAAUGAUGAAGGUCUUAGGAUUGUAGAAUUCUUUCACCGGGGACGAUAAUGACGGUACCCGGAGAAGAAGCCCCGGCUAACUUCGUG
rnacentral:rRNA from 1 species